UCGUCAGGUAGGAUAAUCCUUACCUGUUCCUCCUUCGGAGGGCAGAUUAGAACAUGAUGAUUGGAGUUGCAUGAAACGUGAUUAACGUCUCUGCGUAAUCAGGACUUGCAACACCCUGAUUGCUCCUUUCUGAU
rnacentral:snoRNA from 13 species